AGGGAAUAUUGGACAAUGGGCGCAAGCCUGAUCCAGCCAUGCCGCGUGAGUGAAGAAGGCCCUCGGGUUGUAAAGCUCUUUUGUCCGGAAAGAAAAGCGCCGGGUUAAUACCCUGGUGUCCUGACGGUACCGGAAGAAUAAGCACCGGCUAACUUCGUGCCAGUAGCCGCGGUAAUACGAAGGGUGCAAGCGUUACUCGGAAUUACUGGGCGUAAAGCGUGCGUAGGUGGUUUGUUAUGUCUGAUGUGAAAGCCCUGGCUCAACCUGGUAAUUGCAUUGGAUACUGGCAGGCUAGAGCGUGGUAGAGGGUAGUGGAAUUCCCGGUGUAGCAGUGAAAUGCGUAGAGAUCGGGAGGAGCAUCUGUGGCGAAGGCGACUACCUGGACCAGCACUGACACUGAGGCACGAAAGCGUGGGGAGCAAAC
rnacentral:rRNA from 1 species